CUGUGUCUCCUUGUCCCUCUCCUGCUUGCUCUGCCUCUCUCUUUCAAAAGUAAAUAAAAACUAAAAAUUCAAAAAAAAUUAAAAAGGCAAUGAAGGUAAACAAUGUAAUGUUGAAGUAACAAAUGUAUAAUGUAUACAUAUCACUUGUUUUAUGUAUUUUGGUAGGUUUUCUACUUACAGAGAAAGUGAAAUCCUCUCAAAAUGAACCACUGAUGGACAGAAGUAGAGUUUUCUUGCUGAAACUCUGGGGAUUUAAAAUGAGCAUCUUUUGCACGACCUUCUUACACGAAAAACAGUUGAAACUUAAUGUUCCACAUCAUUCUGCCAUGCAUUAUCUAAAUAAACCUUUGUGAGCUGCAUGA